rnacentral:misc_RNA from 1 species
AAACGAAUAAAUAAUAAAACACGUUUCUUUAUUUUAUCAUCACAUAAUUGAUAAGACAAGGAGAGAUUCUUACAAUAAUAUUAUCAUAAUCUUCAUCUGUAGCUCAGUUACAGAACGUUAAUUAACCCAACCUCAACAGUAACUCUAAAACAAAACAUGAUUAAAACAAAAACAAAUGAUGAUUAUGAUAAAUAAUCACAUUGUUGCUUUAAUAUCUCCACCAUUUACUUGUUCAGAAAUACUAAUCACUUUGCUCUGUUUCUUCUCUUCUUCAGCCAAUUUUGGUACAGUAAUCUUCAACACCCCAUUAUCCAAAUUAGCUUUAAUAUGUUCCAAAUCAACAUUCCUUGGAAGCUUAAACUGUCUCCAGAACUUUCCAGAAGUUCUCUCAACUCUAUGCCAUUUCUCACUUUCAAUAUUUUCCUCCUCUGUUUUUCUCUCUCCGCUGAUUCUCAAUACUCUGUUUUCUUCAACCUCAAUCUUGAUAUCUUCCUUUUUCAUCCCAGGAAUGUCAAGUGAAAUUAUGUGUUCUUUCGAUGUUUCUUUCCAAUCUGAACGAGCUAAUAAGGCGAUUGUUUGAUCAAUCCCUUUAGGGAUUGUAAGUGGGGUUUGUUCA